rnacentral:rRNA from 1 species
AUUGAACGCUGGCGGCAUGCCUUACACAUGCAAGUCGAACGGAGUGGCGGACGGGUGAGUAAUGUCUGGGAAACUGCCCGAUGGAGGGGGAUAACUACUGGAAACGGUGGCUAAUACCGCAUACUAUCGGAUGAGCCUAGGUCGGAUUAGCUAGUUGGUGGGGUAAAGGCCUACCAAGGCGACGAUCCGUAGCUGGUCUGAGAGGAUGAUCAGUCACACUGGAACUGAGACACGGUCCAGACUCCUACGGGAGGCAGCAGUGGGGAAUAUUGGACAAUGGGCGAAAGCCUGAUCCAGCCAUGCCGCGUGUGUGAAGAAGGUCUUCGGGUUGUAAAGCACUUUAAGUUGGGAGGCGUUACCAACAGAAUAAGCACCGGCUAACUUCGUGCCAGCAGCCGCGGUAAUAC